rnacentral:rRNA from 1 species
AUUGAACGCUGGCGGCAUGCCUUACACAUGCAAGUCGAACGGCAGCACGGACUUCGGUCUGGUGGCGAGUGGCGAACGGGUGAGUAAUAUAUCGGAACAUACCCUAGAGUGGGGGAUAACGUAGCGAAAGUUACGCUAAUACCGCAUACGAACUAAGGUUGAAAGUGGGGGAUCGCAAGACCUCAUGCUCAUGGAGUGGCCGAUAUCUGAUUAGCUAGUUGGUGAGGUAAAGGCUCACCAAGGCGACGAUCAGUAGCUGGUCUGAGAGGACGACCAGCCACACUGGAACUGAGACACGGUCCAGACUCCUACGGGAGGCAGCAGUGGGGAAUUUUGGACAAUGGGGGCAACCCUGAUCCAGCAAUGCCGCGUGAGUGAAGAAGGCCCUCGGGGUUGUAAAGGCUCUUUUGUCAGGGAAGAAAAGGUUGUAGGCUAAUAUCCAUGACUCAUGACGGUACCUGAAGAAUAAGCACCGGCUAACUACGUGCCAGCAGCCG